rnacentral:lncRNA from 1 species
CUGCCGGUGCCCGGCCACCCCCGGCCCCACCGAGCUGGCGCUGCCGUUGAGCCCAAAUCUCCUCGCCAGCCCGGGGAGCCGCUGCCCACCCCACAGAUUCCUGCCCACCCCGCUGCCACCGACCCCUCCUCACCGGCCCGGCGGGGACCCAGCCUUGACCUUGUCACCCCAACCGGGCACAGGGCCACCCGCCUCACCGGGCACGAGUGUCCCCCACCCGCUGUCUCCCAGCCCAGCACCCACCAGCGCAUCCCCCCGCAAGCAGCGGCCGCCCCCGGUCGGUCUCUCCCCGCUCCGCCGCAUCGCCCGCGCUCCCCGCGCUCCCCACGCCGCCACCCCCGCAGCCCGUCCCGGGGUCCCGCAGCCCCGUACCUGCCCCGCAGCCCCUCCCGUGGGCAGCCGCCGGUAGCCGGUCGAGGAGCGCGGUCAGGAGCCGCUCGGGGGGCGCGGGCGCGGCGGGGGCGCAGCCGCAGCCGCAGCAGCACCGGGCGGCGGGCGGCGGCUCCGGGCUCGGCGGCUCCCGGUCCCGGUCCCGGUCCCGAUCGCGGUCGCAGCCCGGUGACGGGUCCUCAGGGGAGCGGAGCGGCGCCUCGGGCGGCCGUAGCUCCAGCCAGCGGCCCUCGCUGCCCGGUACCGGCCCCGCGGGCCCCGCCGGCUCCUCGGGGGAGGCGGGCGGGCGCGACAGGCUCUGCCGCCGCGGCGCCGGCACCGACCCCGGCCCCGGUACCUGCCCCGGGGGGGCGGCGGGGCGGACGGGCAGGUGCGAGCCCCGGCUUCUUCAGCAACUUCUCCAGCGGCUUCAUGGCCGCCCGGGCGCGGCGGCGGCUCAGGGGCCCAUCGGCGGCGGUGGCGGCUCCGUUCGGCUCCGCUCGGGCUCGGGCCGCGGCACCGCUCCCCGCCCGCCCCGCACCGGCUGCGCCUUGCGCCCGCCCCACACCGGCCCCGCCGCCAGCACCGCCCCGCCCCGGUACGGCCCCGCCGCCGCCGACCCCGGCACCUGCCCGCCCCUUUCCCCGCACCGCCGCCGCCCCCGGGCCCGCCAACGGCACCUGCCCGCCCCCUUCCCGCACCGCCGCGCUCGGUACCGAGCCCGGCCCGGGGCUGCGGUGA